CGAACGCUGGCGGCAUGCCUAACACAUGCAAGUCGAACGAGACCUUCGGGUCUAGUGGCGCACGGGUGCGUAACACGUGGGAACCUGCCCUUAGGUUCGGAAUAGCUCCCCGAAAGGGGUGCUAAUACCGGAUAAUGUCUUCGGACCAAAGAUUUAUCGCCUUUGGAUGGGCCCGCGUUGGAUUAGCUAGUUGGUAGGGUAAAAGCCUACCAAGGCGACGAUCCAUAGCUGGUCUGAGAGGAUGAUCAGCCACACUGGGACUGAGACACGGCCCAGACUCCUACGGGAGGCAGCAGUGGGGAAUAUUGGACAAUGGGCGAAAGCCUGAUCCAGCAAUGCCGCGUGAGUGAUGAAGGCCUUAGGGUUGUAAAGCUCUUUUACCCGGGAUGAUAAUGACAGUACCGGGAGAAUAAGCUCCGGCUAACUCCGUG
rnacentral:rRNA from 1 species